rnacentral:rRNA from 1 species
UGGGGAAUAUUGGACAAUGGGCGAAAGCCUGAUCCAGCCAUGCCGCGUGUGUGAAGAAGGCCUUUUGGUUGUAAAGCACUUUAAGCGAGGAGGAGGCUACUUGGAUUAAUACUCUAGGAUAGUGGACGUUACUCGCAGAAUAAGCACCGGCUAACUCUGUGCCAGCAGCCGCGGUAAUACAGAGGGUGCGAGCGUUAAUCGGAUUUACUGGGCGUAAAGCGUGCGUAGGCGGCUUCUUAAGUCGGAUGUGAAUUCCCUGAGCUUAACUUAGGAAUUGCAUUCGAUACUGGGAAGCUAGAGUAUGGGAGAGGAUGGUAGAAUUCCAGGUGUAGCGGUGAAAUGCGUAGAGAUCUGGAGGAAUACCGAUGGCGAAGGCAGCCAUCUGGCCUAAUACUGACGCUGAGGUACGAAAGCAUGGGGAGCAAACAGG